GAUGAACGCUGGCGGCGUGCCUAAUACAUGCAAGUCGAGCGAACGGACGAGAAGCUUGCUUUUCUGAUGUUAGCGGCGGACGGGUGAGUAACACGUGGAGAACCUAACGAUAAGACUGGGAUAACUUCGGGAAACCGGAGCUAAUACCGGAUAAUAUUUUGAACCGCAUGGUUCAAAAGUGAAAGACGGUCUUGCUGUCACUUAUAGAUGGAUCCGCGCUGCAUUAGCUAGUUGGUAAGGUAACGGCUUACCAAGGCAACGAUGCAUAGCCGACCUGAGAGGGUGAUCGGCCACACUGGAACUGAGACACGGUCCAGACUCCUACGGGAGGCAGCCGUAGGGCAUCUUCCGCAAUGGGCGAAAGCCUGACGGAGCAACGCCGCGUGAGUGAUGCAGGUCUUCGGAUCGUAAAACUCUGUUAUUAGGGAAGAACAUAUGUGUAAGUAACUGUGCACAUCUUGACGGUACCUAAUCAGAAAGCCACGGCUAACUACGUG
rnacentral:rRNA from 1 species